UUAGAGGGAGAGAGUAAGAGCAUCAAACACAAAGAAAAACACAUAACAAUAUGGGGUCACCAAUGGCCUCUUUGGCAGCAACUUUGCUUGUCUUAGCACUUUCUCUUGGUUUUGUAUCUGAAACCACCGCAAAUUACUACUACUCUUCUCCUCCUCCACCGGUCAAACACUACACUCCUCCGGUGUACAAGUCUCCUCCACCACCGGUAAAGCACUACUCUCCUCCGGUUUACAAAUCCCCACCUCCACCAAAGAAGGACUACGAGUACAAAUCACCUCCACCACCGGUUAAGCAUUACUCUCCUCCUCCAGUUUACAAGUCUCCACCUCCUCCCAAGAAACAUUACGAGUACAAAUCACCUCCUCCACCGGUUUACAAAUCUCCUCCUCCUCCGGUUUACCACUCACCUCCACCACCUAAAAAACACUACGAGUACAAAUCACCUCCUCCACCGGUUUACAAGUCUCCUCCCCCUCCGGUCUACCACUCUCCUCCACCACCUAAGAAACACUACGAGUACAAAUCUCCUCCUCCACCGGUUUACAAGUCUCCUCCUCCUCCAGUCUACCACUCUCCUCCACCACCUAAGAAACACUACGAGUACAAAUCACCUCCUCCACCGGUUUACAAGUCUCCUCCUCCUCCAGUCUACCACUCUCCCCCACCACCUAAGAAACACUACGAGUACAAAUCUCCUCCUCCACCGGUUUACAAGUCUCCUCCUCCUCCGGUUUACCACUCUCCUCCACCACCUAAGAAGCAUUACGAGUACAAAUCUCCUCCUCCUCCGGUUUACCAGUCUCCUCCCCCUCCGGUUUACCACUCUCCCCCACCACCAAAGAAACACUACGAAUACAAAUCGCCGCCACCUCCCGUCUAUUCUCCUCCUCCACCGGUUCACUACUCACCUCCUCACCACCCCUACCUUUACAAAUCUCCACCUCCUCCAUACCACUACUAGAUAAACUGAUCGUCAGACUCAUGGAGUUGACGACACUACACAAGAAAACAAAUAAUCUUUUGGUGAUAUAAUAAAAGAUACAAGAUCAUUAAGAGAUAAUAUCGAAACGGAUAUAUUUUCUAAGAGAAGUUUCCCAUUUAAUGUGUUUUUUUCUCCCAUAAAAUAAGUUGUUGGAAUAAACUUCAAACAUGUUUGAUGAGUUGUCCCUUCAUGCAUGCAAAUUGGUCAUAUGUUUGUAAGUUCAAGUCGUGUUUUCUAAAUUACAGUUUCAAAGUUUGAUUGUUUACUUAAAUAAAAGUAUAAGUUCAUUUU